rnacentral:ncRNA from 1 species
AAAAAAUCGAUGAUCAAGAAAAUAAUUAUAAAAAUGUUAUUAAAGCGAGUCGAAAAAUGGUGUGAGUUUGACAAUAAUUAUAUAAUUAUUAGAGCUUGUGAGUGACUACAGGAAAUAAAAGUAUGGUAGUUCGUAUAUCUACGUUACAGAUUUGAGUGGAUUUUUGUAUUUAAAAUGUAAAAAUCAAAUAGAGUGGUACCGCGUUUUAUAUCGCCUCUGGA